GAAAUGCGAUACGUAGUGUGAAUUGCAGAAUCCCAUGAACCUUCGAGUCUUUGAAUGCAAGUUGCGCCUGAAGCCAUUAGGUUGAGGACAGGUCCGUUUGGGCGUCUCACGUUGCGUCACCCGCGCCCCCGCCCCCCUCGAAGCGGUGAAGAAGGGCUGCGGGUGGAUGUUGGCCCCCAUUCACUCCCGCGCGCGGUCGUCCCCAAAGCGAGUCCCCCGCGACGAACGACCCGUCGCGACGAGUCCUGGUUGACAAACCGUUGCGUCGCCUCGCGCGCGUCUGCGUUGUCUCGGGAGGCUUGUUGUGACCCUAUCGUGCCGCCGCCAAGGCGCUCCGAUCACGACCCCAGGUCAGGCGGGAUUACCCGCUGAGUUUAA
rnacentral:misc_RNA from 1 species